rnacentral:rRNA from 1 species
GACGAACGCUGGCGGCGUGCCUAAUACAUGCAAGUCGAACGCAGAGGGGACGGGUGAGUGACACGUGGGUAACCUACCAUCAGAGGGGAUCCCACUUGGCAACAGGUGCUAAAACCGACACCGAUGGAUAGACCAGCGGUGACUUAGCUAGUAGGUGAGGUAACGGCUCACCAAGGCCCCGAGUCAUAGCCGACCUGAGAGGGUGAUCGGCCACACUGGGACUGAGACACGGCCCAGACUCCUACGGGAGGCAGCAGUAGGGAAUCUUCGGCAAUGGACGAAAGUCUGACCGAGCAACGCCGCGUGAGUGAAGAAGGUUUUCGGAUCGUAAAACUCUGUUGUUAGAGAAGCGGUAUCUAACCAGAAAGCCACGGCUAACUACGUGCCAGCAGCCGCGGUAAUUC